rnacentral:rRNA from 1 species
UGUUAUUCAGGAAAUUAAAAGAAAUUGGCGGCUUUUUUAAAAUCUUAGAGGAGUUUAUUCUAUAAAGGAUUCAACACCUCUACCUCACUUUAUUUUGUAUUUUAUUCAACUUGUAUACCUCUAUAACCUAUUAAUAAAAAAAUUUAUUAAAAAAAUCUUUUUAAAGAAAACAAUUAAGUCAAGGUGCAGUUUAUAAUCAAGAAUGAAAUAAACUAUAUCUACACAAAUAAUUUUAUCAAAGAAAUUUAUUUAAAAUAAAUUUCUUAGAUAAAUUUAAAAGUAAAUUUUAAUUAUAGAUUAAUAUUGAAUUAAAAAUUUAAGUGUACAUAUUGCCCGUCACUCUUAACACAAAGAUGGUCGUAACAUAGUAAUA